rnacentral:lncRNA from 1 species
CCUAAAAUAGGAACAGAUUUACCCUCCUUCUUCGCGACCGGAGAAGAUCGGCCUUCGAUUAACAGAAAAAUGCCAGUUCCGAAUAGCAGAAACCCUAAAAUGUGAAGCCUCGCCGAAAUUGACUCAAGAACGUCGGAAAACCAACCCAAAACGUCCGAGUAGCGAAGAUGCAACCAGUUAUCGUGAUAAAAGUCUCAGAUCAACACCCGAUUUAAAUUGGAAUCAUCACUGACCAAAUAUCUCAGAAACACCCAAAAAUUUCCAACGAGAUUUCGACUGAGAUAACAAAAUAAAGGAAAGUAUAGUCGGAUCAUCGUCC